UGAUCCGCAUCAAAAUUAUGCGGGCAACCUACAGAACAGGCUAUUAAAAUGAGUCCUUAUCAUCCAUGGUUAAGAGAAAAGGGAAUGGUCAUGGUGGAUGCACAAACACACACAUCUUUAUUGUAAACACGUUUGAAGUCACGCGUAUCAAGAUAAUUAUAGGCCUCGAUUUGAUCUCUAUAAUCAACAAUUAUGAUCAGCCAAACCACGACAACAACGAACUACAUGACAUCAAGGCUGUUCAGAUUCACAAGUAGAGCACUAGGGUCCAUCAGUGAGUCCAGACCAUGUCUUGGUCGGUGUUACUGUUUACCGAACGGACGCAUCAAAGGAUGUGUCCUGCUACAGAUGUCAUUAAUGGUUCGGCGCGCUCGAGUCAAUCGGUCCCGACGGCUGAAUAGAAGCGAUUCGACAUUCAGUUAAGCAAAUACGACAGUUAACAGCGAAAAGAGAUAAGGAGAACAUCAAGUGAAUACAAGCGGCAAGUGAAUACAAGCGGCAAGUAAUGUGAGGGCUUUCAAAACGCGGCCGGCUCAACUAACAAUCAGCGUUGGUUUGUGGAGUCGGCACGACUCUGUUCCAUUGAAGACCAGGCCUUUACAGUUCCACGGAAUGUCCGCAAAACUUGGAAGGCUUGUAAACAAUUGAUUUAAGGCCUCAUUUAUCGAGCCAUCAAUGCAGACUCGAAUUCCUCUCACAAGUACGGGUUAUUGGUUGGGGUUUUUAAUUUCUUAGCCGUAAUUUCAAUGGCAUAACGGAACAUUUGCUUCCGAUGAAAGACUACGAGUUCCGUAGCGUUUAGAAAGUUUAAUUAUAGAGCUUGACGGUUGAUCCAUUGCUCCACACACGAUAUAUUUAUAGCAAUAAACUCGGGAUUCCUUCGAUUUACUGGUUGGUCAGGUUUGACAUUAGUGGAAUCGGUCGAGAUGUUGGUGACAUCAAAGGCACACCGCUAAAGGUUGUGUAGCACCGUUAUUACAUUACUUUACUGCCACCCACAGUGUUCAGGCCGGUCAGCAUUCACUAUCACACACCCUACUCACUGUCACCUAUCACGAGAACACAGAUUUUUCGCUCCAGAACUCGUUGGAAGUAAUCUUUCUGUCAGCCGAUAAUCAAUUGGUAGCGGUGAAUUUCUUUCAGUUUGUGCCUCCCUUGCCCCCAAGCUGACGAUCACAAAGGUAGCGGCAACUAGUUAAUAAAGCAAUUGGGCAACGAUAAGACUUUAUUGCCUAUUUGGCUUCUGAAGUGCCGCGCUAUAAGCUCAUCUUUGCAUGGCUAUUUUCUUCUAAUUGUAAUAACUUUUGUGUUAGGAAUUACUUAGACGAAAAGGUACUUGUGAGCUAAGGUGGCGCGAAAGUCUCAUUUGCCCAACUGUAAGGAGUCAAGUAUUAGGUCAACACACUAUUUAGCCUUUCCUUCGGAUGGUAGAUUGUGUUGUGAUUAAAUAAAUUGUAUUUUUACGAUA